rnacentral:rRNA from 1 species
UACGUAGGGGGCAAGCGUUGUCCGGAAUCAUUGGGCGUAAAGCGCGUGUAGGCGGCUUGGUAAGUCUGCUCUGAAAGCCCGGGGCUCAACCCCGGGAGGCGGGUGGAUACUGUCAAGCUCGAGUCCGGAAGAGGCGAGUGGAAUUCCUGGUGUAGCGGUGGAAUGCGCAGAUAUCAGGAGGAACACCAACGGCGAAGGCAGCUCGCUGGGACGGUACUGACGCUGAGACGCGAAAGCGUGGGGAGCGAACAGGAUUAGAUACCGUA